rnacentral:rRNA from 1 species
UGCGAUAAGCGCCGGUAAGGUGAUAUGAACCGUUAUAACCGGCGAUUUCCGAAUGGGGAAACCCAGUGUGAUUCGUCACACUAUCAUUAACUGAAUCCAUAGGUUAAUGAGGCGAACCGGGGGAACUGAAACAUCUAAGUACCCCGAGGAAAAGAAAUCAACCGAGAUUCCCCCAGUAGCGGCGAGCGAACGGGGAGGAGCCCAGAGCCUGAAUCAGCAUGUGUGUUAGUGGAAGCGUCUGGAAAGGCGCGCGAUACAGGGUGACAGCCCCGUACACAAAAGCGCAUGUGCUGUGAGCUCGAUGAGUAGGGCGGGACACGUGGUAUCCUGUCUGAAUAUGGGGGGACCAUCCUCCAAGGCUAAAUACUCCUGACUGACCGAUAGUGAACCAGUACCGUGAGGGAAAGGCGAAAAGAACCCCGGCGAGGGGAGUGAAAAAGAACCUGAAACCGUGUACGUACAAGC